AGAAAAGAGAAUAGAGAGGGCAACCGAGUCUUCAUCUUCGACUCACCAUGAAGCUCAUCAAGUUCAAUUCUAGCAACAUUACGCUCAUUUGUCAAAGUGUAUUUUACUGAUUAAGAUGGGGGCUACUUAGUACCAGGUUGCCCUCCUAUUCUCAGCCUCAUCAACUACACGUGUUCAUCUAACAAACAUCUCAAUGUGACCAAUACGGGUUUCCUCUGCAGCCUACACCUGUCAUCACUGCCAAUGAAUUAAUACAGUGAGCAUAUCUAUAUAAGAAAAGAGAAUAGAGAGCGCAACCAAGUCUUCAUCUUCGACUCACCAUGAAGCUCGUCAAGUUCAAUUCUAGCAACAUUACGCUCAUUUGUCAAAGUGUAUUUUACUACUUAGUACCAGGUUGCCCUCCUAUUCUCAG